rnacentral:rRNA from 1 species
GAUGAACGCUGGCGGCGUGCCUAACACAUGCAAGUCGAACGGAAAGGCCCAAGCUUGCUUGGGUUCUCGAGUGGCGAACGGGUGAGUAACACGUGGGUACUCUGCCCUUCACUUCGGGAUACGCCUCGGAAACUGGGUCUAAUACCGGAUAGGACCACAUUUUGGAGGGUGUGGUGGAAAGUCUUUCGGUGUGGGAUGUGCUCGCGGCCUGUAAGCUUGUUGGUGGGGUAAUGGCCUACCAAGGCGUCGACGGGUAGCCGGCCUGAGAGGGUGUACGGCCGCCCUGGGACUGUGAGGCAGGCCAGAGUCCGGCGUGAGGCAGAAGGGGGGAAUAUUGGACAAUGGGAGGAAGCGUGAGGCAGCAACGCCGCGUGGGGGAUGACGGCCUUCGGGUUGUAAGAACCUUUCGGUAGUGACGAGGCGUGUGUGUGACGGUACCGGGAGAAGAAGCACCGGCUAACUACGUG